rnacentral:lncRNA from 1 species
CCGGGAAGGAGUGGCUUUGUUGUGGAAGCCCAGUGGUCAGGGGUUAGGCCUGCAGAGUUGGGGGCCAGGCCCCACAGACCCAGCUAGAGGGGCUUUGUGGACCACUCUGCUGCCCCCACCCCCUAGGCUGAGCCCCUGAGGCCACGAGACCUUGUCCUGGGACAGCUUCUCUCCGGCCUUCUGCAUUCUCUUUCUUUUGUGGGGGCAGAGCCUUGUGCAAAGUCUGUACAAAGCGGUAUUCACUGAGUACCUCCAGGCCUUGGUCACCCAUCUCAAGAGGCUGAAGCCCCGGAAGUGGGAAGACCACCGGGGUCAGGUGGAAACGGACGUCCGGGAGCUGCGUGAGGCUUUCGGGAGGCAGGAGGGCCUCGGUGAUGGAGCCCCUGGCCUGGAGGCCUUCGUGGAGGUCUUCCAGCUCAGCGGGGAGCAGGGCAGCGCGUGUCUGGAUGAAUGGCUGGCCUCCUUCAGGGACAGGUUCCCAGACUAUGUGAGGUGAGAGACAGAAGGGGGGCAAGUAGACGGGGGAGCCUGCAGGGGGCUCAGCCCGGGCCUGGGCGGAGGCGGGACUGAGCUAAGGGUGCCGGCAUGUGAAGGGUGAGUAGGAAGGGCAUGAAGGGCAUGAAGGGCAUGAAGGGUAUGAAGGGUGUGAAGGGUGAGUUGCCGGCAGAGACUGGGAGCCUUGUGCCAAAGCGCAUAUCUCAGCGCCUCCUGUCCUCAGGAGGGAAUCCAAGGCCAGAGAAGGGCAAGGACUUGCCCAGGGUCCCCCGCAGGCCGGUGCAGGCCCCUCCCUAGUCUCUCCGCCUCCUGACGCUGAGAUCCACCCAGCUGGACCCUCGGAGCGGCCCAGUCCAGAUCCCUUCCUGGUGUCCAGGGCUCCCCGCACACAGGGCCAGCCCGAGGAGCCUGAGCUCAGGAGCUGCUGCCCUUGCUACUGGGGCUUCCUCACGACUUUCACAAGGUGACCAAGGGGGUGAGGGCUCCAGGGCCGUCUCCAGGGACGCUGGUCUGGCUCCUAGACAACCCCCCACCAGUCUGUUUUAUUCAGUUCCUGUCUGGAGAUGGCCGUCACCAUUGUCUUGGCUGAGAUCUGUCCUGUCUGUUGCCUGGCAAAAGUCUUCACGGCGGAGGACCAGCCUCAUGUCUGGGGGACCAGACAGACGUUUGUCUUCAUCUCCUCGGCGCCCACUGGCCGCCCCAAGAGGAAAUGGAAGUGAGCUCUCGUUUCAAGGAGCCUCUCCCCCUGGGGCUCUGGACGUGGUGUGGCUCUGGGACCUGGUUAAGGCGAAGGAUGUGAGUGCCCCUGACCCCUUCACAGGCAGCAGUCUGAAAUCCAGAAGGAAGCCGUCCUUCUCAAGCCCGGACUCCUCCACCAGAGGAUCCUGAGUCAGACACCAUGCUAUGAAAGGCCAGCCUCCUCCACAGUCCACCAGAAGCUGCGGAGGCCAAGGGCGGGGCGGGCAGAGGGCAGGCACGGGAGCGUCCCACCAGCCUGGCCGAGGGCCCUCUCCUGCGCGGACCACAGCUUCACUGACAUGCAGUUCACAUGCCGUGUGGUUCACCCACUGAAGUUGCACGUACCAUUCAGUGGUUUUUAGCAUGUUCACAGUUGUACAGCCAUCACCGCAGGCCAUGUUGGGACAUCUUCAUCCCUAGAAAGGACCUGUAACCUUGUCGGCAUGACCCCAAGCCCCUCUUCCCGCCGUGCCCCCCGCCCUGGGCAGGCUCUGCUCUGCUUUCUGGCCACAUACAUGUGUCUGUUCCGGGCACGUCUCAUGAAGUGAAUUACAUGAGGCGUCACCUUUUGUGACCAGCUUCUUUCGCUUCUUUCGCUCAUCGUUAUGCUUCAGGGUUCAUCGGUGUGACUCGCAUCCAUUUCCGCCCGUUUUUUACGUUUUUUCCUUCCCUAUGUGGCUGUGCUGGGUCUUAGUUGUGGCAUCUUUUCCGUUGUGCCACUCGAACUCUCAGUUGCAAAAUGUAGGAUCUAGUUCCCUGACCAGGCAUCGAACCCAGGCCCCCUGCACUGGGAGCGUAGAGUCGUAGCCGUUGGCCCACCAAGGCAGUUACUUCCCCAUUCAUUUUUAUAGCUGAUACUCGGUUUUAUACUCGGUUUAGUCAGACAUUCGUUGAUGGGCAUUCGAGUUGUUUCCCGUUUGGGGCUGCUGUGAAUAAUGCUGCUAUGAACACAUGUGCACAACAUUUUGUGUAGACAUGUGUUUUUAGUCCUCCUGUGUUCCACCGAGGAGUGCAAUUCCUGGGUCAAAUGGUGACUCCGCGUUUAACUUUUUGAGAAACUGUGGAGUAUUUCUCCGAAGCAUACCAGCGAGGUAUGAGGGGCCCAGCGUCUCCAUACCCUCAUCAACAUUCCUUAUGUCAGACUUUGUGA